ACGAAGGGUGCAAGCGUUACUCGGAAUUACUGGGCGUAAAGCGUGCGUAGGUGGUUUGUUAAGUCUGAUGUGAAAGCCCUGGGCUCAACCUGGGAAUGGCACUGGAUACUGGCAAGCUAGAGUGUGGCAGAGGGUAGUGGAAUUCCUGGUGUAGCAGUGAAAUGCGUAGAGAUCAGGAGGAACAUCAGUGGCGAAGGCGACACCCUGGACUCAUACUGACACUGAGGUGCGAAAGCGUGGGGAGCAAACAGGA
rnacentral:rRNA from 1 species